rnacentral:rRNA from 1 species
ACGGGGGCAGCAGUGGGGAAUAUUGGACAAUGGGGGAAACCCUGAUCCAGCGACGCCGCGUGAGUGAAGAAGUAUUUCGGUAUGUAAAGCUCUAUCAGCAAGGAAGAAAAUGACGGUACUUGACUAAGAAGCCCCGGCUAACUACGUGCCAGCAGCCGCGGUAAUACGUAGGGGGCAAGCGUUAUCCGGAUUUACUGGGUGUAAAGGGAGCGUAGACGGCAAAGCAAGUCUGAAGUGAAAUCCCGGGGCUCAACCCUGGAGCUGCUUUGGAAACUGUUUAGCUAGAGUGCAGGAGAGGUAAGUGGAAUUCCUAGUGUAGCGGUGAAAUGCGUAGAUAUUAGGAGGAACACCAGUGGCGAAGGCGGCUUACUGGACUGUAACUGACGUUGAGGCUCGAAAGCGUGGGGAGCAAACAGGAUUAGAUACCCUGGUA